UUCCCAUGGUCCCAAGCCACAACAAAUACGAUUUUACCUAAGAGAUGAAACAGGAGGAAUUAAGAAACUACCCAUACUUUUGCUUAAUCAGCCUGAGGAGCUCCCAACGGCAAUCAAAAUCAAAAUGCUUCAAGUAUGCAACAGGUGCACAUGGCAGCUAAUUUCCUUCGUGUUUGAUGGAUCGAUCUUACUGAACCUCUCAAGCAACAUGUUUUGCCACAUCCAUGAUAUCAUCCAGGCGUCGCAAAGUCUGAACUUGACGACAUGAUAAAGGAGCCAUUGACUGUUACUUUUGAUAAUUGAUAUAGCCAAAGUUAACUCAUUUCAUUUAAAAGAGAGAGGAGAGACGGGCUUCAAUUGAAAGUUAAUUUACCCUUCA